rnacentral:rRNA from 1 species
CCUACGGGUGGCAGCAGUGAGGAAUAUUGGUCAAUGGGCGCAAGCCUGAACCAGCCAAGCCGCGUGAGGGAAGAAGGUUCUACGUAUUGUAAACCUCUUUUGUCCGGGGACAAACGCAGGUACUAGUCUCCGUCUGAAGGUAUCGUAAGAAAAAGCAUCGGCUAACUCCGUGCCAGCAGCCGCGGUAAUACGGAGGAUUCGAGCGUUAUCCGGAUUUAUUGGGUUUAAAGGGUGCGGAGGCGGGCGGUUAAGUUAGGGGUGAAAGCCCGAGGCUCAACUCCGGCAGAGCCUCUGAUACUGUUCGGCUAGAGAGGAGGAGAGGUAGGCGGAAUGCGUGGUGUAGCGGUGAAAUGCUUAGAUAUCAUGCAGAACACCGAUUGCGAAGGCAGCGUACCGAGUUACUACUGACGUUGAGGCACGAAAGCGUGGGUAGCGAACAGGAUUAGAUACCCCAGUAGUC